UCCCCUUUGGGAGCCUGGCAUCUCCAUCUCUCUCCCCCUCACCACUUCUUCUCUCACCUCCGGCUGCCGCCACGGCUAAGCCAUCGUAGCGGCGCACCUCUGCGACCUUGCUGCUCCACAUCACCCAUCCAUCCACCAUCAUCUCGUGCCACCGCGCCACCCAAUCAGCACCACACCAUCCAGCCACCACUCCGUCUUCGCCGCCAUCAACUUGCGCGCUCCACUUUGUCACCGCGCCUGGCGCGCCCGACCAGACGGGCGUCUGGUUCCCCGCGCCACCUACUGUUGCUCUCUCCCUCUCUCCGCUGCUCCUCCCCUUGUCUCCACUUCCUCUGCUUCUCUUCCUUAUUCUCCUUCUCCCACGUCUUGCUACUGCUUCUCUUCUCCGACCCCCUUUGUUGUUGCUCUUCUUCUCUUGCGCCCCUGCUGAUCCUACCUUGUUGCUCGCUGCUGCUUCUCUUCCAAUUCCCCACCUACUGCUAUUCUUCUUCUUCUCAAAAUCCCAAUCUGCUGCUCCUUCUCUGAACCAACCGCUGGCUGCUAUGACCUCUCCCCAAAACUGUCGUUGCUCCUCUUUCUUGCGGCACCUUCUCUCAAACGCCCCUGGUGCUCAUAAUCUGAACCAUAAACUGUUGUUAUCUCUCUUUUUCCCUCUAUAUUCUUUGAAUUUCUAUAAUAGGAGAUGUGUAAUGCCUUGUAAUGUUUAGAUUCUAUGAAUGCUUGCAAUCCGUGAAUGGUUCAAUUUCGUACUUAUAAAUAUUGUAUCACAUAUUGUGUGUUCUCACUAGUUGAAUUGUUCUUGCUGUGUAUCUGUGUUCUAUCUAUCACCAUAUAUGUGUACCUAACCCUGUGAACUUGUUCCAGUUUCUAGUUUUUGUGUUUACUCAAGUACUUGUGCUACAAAAAUAUGUGUGUGAGUUUGUGAUGUGAAACAAUUUUUUCCAGCCAUAUAACCGUGAUUCUUCCCACUGUUAUAUUUUUGUCCCUGUCAUAUAAUCUUGUUUACUAUAUAAUCUUUCAUGCCAUGCUGUUUCCCUAUUGUGUUAGCAUUUUAGUUUCUCAAGUAAUAGGAAAGUACCAAAAAGUAAGCGAAGAAAAUCUUAAUAUCCCUGUGCUAUUUGCAUUUUCUUUGUGAAAGAUCUUCGGGAACAACCUUGUUUAGUUUAGGUUUAUUUCCUUGUAAUCAUCAUCUGUAUUAUGUCACCUAGCUUUAGCCGAGCAUAGUCGUCAUCGACUAGUACCUGAGGAGAACACGACACUCGCAGAAUUGGGCGAAAUACCCAACUGUACUUACACAUGAUCAUUUUGGCGCCGUUGCCGGGACUAGCAUCGUGCGACCGUGUUAGGCGAUAGACUAGGUUUUGCUUCUGUUUCUAUUUAGUGCCAUAUAUUUGUGAUAUAUCUCUUACCCCUAACCACUAUUAUAGUUAUCUUCUCUUUCUUUUAUUAUUCAUUUUGUAGCUUGAAUUGUCUUCUUGGAAAUGGCAUUCUACUCAGAUCAUCAUGCUUAUGCGAGCAACAGUACAAACAACACUGAACGUAUUCAAGAACUGAUAAGGCCAUUCACCCGCUGAAUGUCAGCGUGGUUACUCUCACCCUCCAGAUUGUUUUGGCAUGAGCUUUGCUCAAGAGCAUAGCUCAUACCAAAACAAUACACACAUGGGUGGCCUGAAAACCAGAAUAUCUCAUAUAGGAGCAACAACCCUGAGAUCUCACCAUUUGCUUCUAGUAAUCAUAUCCAGGGAUUUAUGUAUGAAGAGGAGAGCAACAACUAUGCACCACAACAAUUUUAUUCACCUCCUACUCAUAUACCUCAACACCACGAGAUAUUGCCAAUGGAGUUAAAUGGUCCUCCAUUUGGUUAACCAACACCUUCAACACAAGUGCCCACACAAGAUGAUUUUGAUGAUAUAGACAAGCUCACAUUGCUUAGUCUCGAGUUCACUUGGAGUGCCGAAGAUGAUCCAAUUAGGCCGGUGAUACUAGAGGAAAUGAAGAAGAUCAAGAGUGGAAAAGCGCUAGUGGAAGAAGUAAGGAAGAUUAAGAAGAACAUCAACGCUGGCAGUACUAUUUCAUCACAGCUUGAGCUGAGUGUUGCUGGGAUAUCCCUUGAUACAUGUGAGGUUUCAAAACCUUCACAUUCAGCUGAGCAAGAUAGCGAGAGUCCAGAGGAAGAGAUACUUCAUAUCCAAGAAGAAAUACUUGAAGCCAAGGAACAAGAUGAUCCAGAGCUUAAAUGCCCAAGUGAUCAAGUUGAAGAUCCAAUGUCUAUCUCUCCCGAAGAAGUAAAAGAAGCUACUGUAGCUGAAGAUGAAGAACCUGAGAUUCAUUUGCCUAUUAUCAUACAUGAGCAUGAUGUGUCAGGUUUAUCCAAUCCUCUCCAUGACAUGCAUCCUUAUGAUUUCUUUCCUACUACCUUGCAUUGCAUGAUGCCAUCUGUUAAAGUAGAUUUGAGGAAGUAUUUGCUUGGAUAUGAUGAUAUAUACCCUGUUAGUGGCAUUACUCUCAUUUGUGAUGAUCAUAGUUGCUUUCCUCGUGCUAGUCCUAUGCUAAAUGAAACAUAUCAUUCCCAUGCUAGUCCUGAGCUUAAUAAUAAAUAUCAUCCUCAUGUUAGUGUUGACCUUGCCGAUUUCUACCAUCCUAAACAUGUGCUUUAUAGCUAUGCUUAUGUAAUUGGAUAUUCGAUUGAUGACUUGGAGGGUAUUAUCCCUACCACUUGCAUUGUCUCUUUUGUUGAGUGCUCUUUCAGGUUCUUCCUUGUGCACGAGUCACUACAUGCUGACCAGGUUCGAGGUGACAUUCCUUGGGACCUCGGUGGAAACUGAGCACGGAGAUGAGGAGAAGCAAUGGGCACACACGCGAGGAAGGGAGAAGAUGGAGCAGGCAUGAGGAUGGAGAAGAAAAAGCAAAAGAGCAGCAGCUUAGAGAGUGAUCAAGCGAGUGCUACUUCAUAGUGCCCGGUGAGCUGUUUCAUGGCCCAUUCCGAGUAUAUCAUCCGAUACAUGAUGAAAUCAAAUGUUAUUUGGGUUGCUUAAGCCAUUUCUUAAAUGUUGCCCCACUGAAUUUCAUUUGACAUAUGGUGCUUGAUGAGAAUAUGCGAACUGAUUGUUGAAUGCCAUGUAAACUAGUGAUCUACAUACUGCAUGCUUUGCUGAAAUCAGUGAGAACUAUUAGUUUUGAGUGCUCAAAUCCCUAGUACACUAGAAAACUUAAUCAUUUUCUGCUUUUACCUUGAUACACCUAGAUCAUUAAGUGUCAUAUGCUGAGUUUGUGCCUAUUGUGUUCACAUUCAGAGCAAUCACUUGCCACUAUGGAUUAGCAUGCUAUGUUCCCUGGAUCGGUAGUAUGUGAACCAGACAUGGAUGAGUGAUGAUUCUUGUUUUUGUUGAUUUGAAAAGUAGAAAAGUAUAUCGUAUAAUGUAUGUUAGUCUGGUCUACCUACAGUAGCAUGUCAUGUUCCCUGGAUCGGUGGCAUGUGAAAUGUGGAAGCUUGGACGGCAAUAAAAAAAUGUAAUUCUCGAACCAGGUGUAUACCAUGUUCUCUAGAUCGGUGGUAUGUUCCUUUGGGGAGACAAACAAAAGAAACUAACUAAUAAUUGGUCGAGCCAGGUGUAUACCAUGUUCUCGGGAUCGGUGGUAUGUUCCUUUGGUGAGACCGAUAAAAUAUUAUCAUUACUUUCUUCAAAUACAAUAAGUGCUUUCAACUGCAAUGUUUUGUUCCUCGUAAUAAGUGACCUGAUCACAAGUUUAAGUUCUUUUUGUUUUGGGGAUCAUGCUCUCUCUAGGAACCUUUUGGCACAAUCAGCAUUUGAACUUGCUAAUCUUCUUUUAUCAUUUUAAAAGUUUAAAAUGGUCAAGUCUACUAGUAUCCUACUGCUUUGUAGCACUCUAACCAUUAAUUUUCACUAAGUCUGAAGCAUGCAUUGUUUAGAGAUCUACUUCACUUGACAUUCUGUAGUCAGUUCACUAUUCACUAUCUAGUUCUUGUCAUAUUCCUUCGCUUGAGGACAGACAAAGAUUUAAGUGUGGGGGAACUUGAUAAGCACAUUUCAUAUACAUAUUUUGACACACAAAUUCAUCAUCUAUUGAGAUAUGUCCAUCCAUUUUUGCUUAGUAUUAUCGAAUAUUCGAAUGAUAUUCAUAAAAGAGCUAGUGACUGGUCAUUUGUUUCUUUUGCAGAAAAGUGCGCAAAGGCACUAUAAACUUCGAGAUUUAGACUGUGAGGCUUGUGACAAGAGACAAGGGCAUGAAAGAAAGACGAGGGACCCGGGCGAGAAGAAAAGAAGUUACCAAGGGCAAGCUGAAGAAGAGGAGGGACCUUAUUGUGAAGAAACAAGAAAGCAUGAGGGUCAAUGUGAAAAUGUCCAGAUCAGCCGUGAGGGGAUCAAAAUCCCUAGCUCAUCACUGAUCCCCUUUGGGAGCCUAGCAUCUCCAUCUCUCUCCCCCUCACCACUUCUUCUCUCACCUCCGGCUGCCGCCGCGGCCAGGCCAUCGUGGCGGCGCGCCUCCGCGACCUCGCUGCUCCACAUCACCCAUCCAUCCACCAUCAUCUCGCACCACCGCGCUACCCAAUCAGCACCAUACCAUCCAACCACCACUCCGUCUUCGCCACCAUCACCUUGCACGCUCCACUUCGUUACCACGCCUAGCGCGCCCGACCAGACGGGCGUCUGGAUCCCCGCGCCACCUGCUGUUGCUCUCUCCCUCUCUUCGCUGCUCCUCCCCCCGUCUCCACUUCCUCUGCUUCUCUUCCUUCUUCUCCUUUGUGGAAGGAGAGAUUUGCAAUACAAUGAACGUUGUAUUGAUGGGGUGCUGGUGCACGUAUAUAUAAUACAAGGGAAGGCCUCUACCCCAACUAUACAAGACUAGGAGGUGGGCCACAACUCCAAUACACGUGCAAUACAAAACACAUACUCAACACCCCCCCGCAGUUGAAGCGUCGCCGGAGACACAGAGACUGGACCGAAACUCCUCGAAGACGGGAGUAGGCAAUCCCUUAGUCAUCACAUCAGCAAACUAUUGCGACGUCAGCACGUGGAGAACUCGAACACGGCCAAGGGCAACCUGCUCGCGCACGAAGUGAAUGUCGAGCUCAAUAUGCUUCGUCCAUCGAUGGUGUACCGGGUUGGCAGAGAGGUAGACCGCGCUGACGUUAUCGCAAUAGACAAGAGUGGCCGUGUGAACAUCACAAAGCAACUCUUGGAGCAGCUGACGUAUCCAAGAGCACUCGGCCAUGGCGUUGGCCACGGCGCGAUACUCUGCCUCGGCGCUGGAGCGAGAGACCGUGGGCUGCCGCUUCGAUGACCAAGAGAUCAACGAGGGCCCAAGGUAGACGCAGUAGCCUGACGUAGAGCGUCGCGUGUCGGGGCAGCCAGCCCAGUCAGCAUCCGAGUAGGCCACGAGGUCGAUGGAGGCGGAGGCCGUCAGGGUGAGUCCCAAAGACAUGGUGCCGCGUAUGUAAUGAAGAAUAUGCUUCACCAGAGUCCAGUGAGAGUCACGCGGGGCGUGCAUAUGGAGGCACACCUGCUGAACAACGUACUGCAAGUCGGGGCGAGUCAGUGUCAAGUACUGUAAAGCAUCGAUAAUAGAGCGAUAAAAUGCUCCAUCAAACGCGAGAGACCCCUCCCGAGAAGAGACCUUCGCCUUUGUGUCGACGGGAGUGGGCGCUGGCUUGCAGUUAAGCAUACGGCACACUUAAGGAGCUCGUGGGCAUACUUCUGCUAAUGCAGAAAGAAACCAUCAGCCCGGCGGAUCACCUCGAUGCUGAGAAAGUAGUGCAGGGGCCCAAGUCCUUGAGGGCGAACUCAUCACGAAGACGAGCAGUCAGCCGCUGAAGGAGAUCGGGGGUGGACGCCGUGAGGAUGAUGUCGUCGACGUAGAGCAGCAGAUAUGCAAUGUCAGCUCCCUGAUGAUACACAAAAAAGUGAGGCAUCGGAGCGAGUGGACCGAAAGCCUAGAGACUGUAGGAAGGCGGCGAUACGUUGGUACCAAGCCCGAGGCGCCUGCUUCAACCCGUACAGAGAGCGGGAGAGCAAGCACACGAAAUCGGGGUGCUCGGUGUCGAUGAAACCAGUAGGAUGCUCACAGAACACCUGCUCGGCGAGAUGACCGUGCAAGAAGGCAUUGGAAACGUUCAACUGAUGCACAGGCCAGGCGCGUGAGACGGCCAGCUGAAGGAUGGCACGGACCGUGCCCUGUUUCACAACCGGGGCGAAGGUGUCGGUGAAGUCCACGCCCGCGCGCUGCCGAAAACCACGAACCACCCAUCGAGCCUUGUAGCGCUCGAGAGAACCGUCUGGGCGAGUCUUGUGGCGAAACACCCACUUGCCAGAGAUGAUGUUGGCACGAGGGGGUCGCGGAACAAGCUGCCACGUGCGGUUGCGGUGUAAGGCAUCGAACUCCUCCUACAUCGCUGCUAGCCAGUGGGGAUCCCGAAGGGCAGCACGAGCGGAGGUGGGGACGGGUGAUGGCGUCGACGUCGAGGCGGUGCACACAUACUCGUCGGCGGAGUAGCGCGUAUUGGGCUGGAGCACUCCUGCUCGGGCACGGGUAGUCACGCCAAGUGGCGGGGCAGCAGGGCCGUCGGGUGCCGCGGCGGCAGGGGGCACGGCGGCGGUGGCACCCGGUGCGGCGGCGGGGGCCGGGGCUCCUGGUGCGGCGGCGGGCACCGCAGCAGCCGCAGCAGCAGAGGCCGCAGCGGUAGCGGCGGCGGGGGCCGCGCCAGCAGGGGCCGCAGCGUCGGCCCAUCCCGCGGCGGCGGGCGAGGUCGAGGUCGAGCCCGUCGCAGGGGUGGCGGCGCCAGCCAGGGUGGCGGGCGGUGUGCCCACCGACUCGACCUCGUAAGAGGGAGUCGAGAACCCGGGAGGUGGCGGCAGAAGGCGCCGGGCCGGGGGGUGCCGCUGCGCAUCGCUCCAGUUAGGGGGCGCGGGGGCUAGUGCCGAAGAAUCCGCAGCCGGAGGGACCUGAAAAAAGGGAACACCGUCUCGACAAAAUACACGUGCCUCGAGGUGUACACGCGAUGAGUGACAGGAUCAUAGCACCGGUAACCUUUGGUGUUGGGAGGGUAGCCAAGGAAGAUGCAUGGAACGGUUCGGGGUGCGAGCUUGUGUGGCGUGGUGGACGCAGUGCUGGGAUAACAGAGACACCCAAAGAUGCGGAGACCAUCAUAGGACGGUGGUGUACCGAAGAGAAGGUGGUGAGAAGCGUAGUUCCACCGAGGACGACACGGACGAAUGUUAACUAAGAGGGUGGCGGUGGCGAGGGCAUCAGGCCAAAACCGAGCAGGCACGUUUGAGUGAAAAAGUAACAUGCGAACGCAGUCAUUAAGAGUGCGAAGAAUGCGCUCGGCGCGGCCGUUCUGCUGUGAAGUGUAGGGGCAAGUCAGACGGAAGAUGGUGCCAUGAGAGGCGAGAAGUGUGCGAAGACCAAUGUUGUCAAACUCUUUUCCGUUAUCAGUUUGGAGUGCAAGUAUGGGACGACCGAACUAGGUGGUGACAUAGGAAUAAAAGGCGGUGAGUGUGGCUAAGGCAUCGGAUUUGCGACGAAGAGGAAAAGUCCACACAUAAUGAGAAUAAUCAUCUAAAAUCACCAAGUAGUAGAGAUAGCCCGUGUUACUCGCAACGGGAGAUGUCCAAAUAUCACUAUGAAGUAAUUGAAACGGAAAAGUGGAAAUUGAGGAGGACGCACUAAAGGGAAGACGAACAUGCUUGCCUAAGCGGCAUGCCUCACAAGAGUGCUCGUCGAGCUUAUUACAUGAGAAUGAGAAACUCCUGAGAAUUUGACGUAACACGGUGUGGUUGGGGUGACCCAAGCGAGCGUGCCAAAGGUCGACGCCGGUGGCAAAGGCGACAGGUGUGGAAGUGGAGGCGCCGGCGUGCACGGGGUAGAGCUCAUCGGGACUUUCACAACGGUGAAGAACCAUCCGGGUACGGGCGUCUUUCACAGAAAAGCCAACGCCGUCAAAUUCAACAGUAAGUGGGUUCUCACGAGUAAGACGACGAACGGAAACUAGGUUCGUGACUAAGUCUGGUGAAAAAAGAACAUUAGACAUAUUGAUGGGUGUGGAAGUGGAGGGAAAACUAGCGCUACCGAUAUGAGUAAUAGGUAAGGAGGAGCCGUUACCGACGGUGAUACGAGUGGGUGUGUGAACAGGAGUGGAGGAGGUUAGGUUACUGGGAUGAGCUGUCAUGUGCGCGGUAGCACCUGAGUCCAUGUACCAGUCGCCUCCGCCGAUAGAGCUACUCGGCGAUGGCGCGGAGUGCUGGGCGGCGAGGAGGGCGGGGUCCCAUGGUGCAGGUACCGGCGGCGGUGAGAGGCCCUCGUAGGGCGGCACCGAAGCGGGCGGGCCAUAACCACCGAGGGGCGAUGGCACAAGGAGGGUGCCGUAGCCGGUGUCGGUCGACUGGUAAGGCGCGCCGAUGAACCCCCGAUGGCCCGCGGGGAGAGCCUGCGGGUGGUGCGGGGCCCAGCCGGCGCCCUGGGCCGGCGGCGACACAGGGAGGGUGCCGUAGCCGGUGCCGGUCGACGGGUAACACCAUCUUGGAGAGGCCAUCGUCGGGGCCGGCGGAGCAGGGCCGCCGGCCAUUGGCGGGGACGGCUGCAUGUGGGUGACGCCGGAUGCGCCGUAGGCGUCGACCGCGCCGUAUGGCGCCGGGGCCGCACCGGAGGGCGCUGGUGGCGGGACGGCAGAGGCGGCGGCGGACAGGCCGGUGAAACGCCAUCGGUGGCGGCGCGGAGGAGCCGCGCGGCGGCGGCGGCGCGGAGGAGUUGCGCGGCAUCGGGGUAGCGGCGGCGCGGAGGAGUCGUGCGGCGGCGGUUAGAGGCGGCGGCAGCGCGGGAGUCGCGCGGCAGCGGCGGCGGCGCUAGGUCGCGGCGGCGGCGCGGGAGGAGUGCGCGGCUUGGGUCGGACGGUGGCGGCGGCGGCGCGAGGAGAGGCGCGGCGGCGGCGGAGCGGAAGCAAGGAAAAUAACCUAAAAAACUGAUACCAUGUGAAAGGAGAGAUUUGCAAUACAAUGAACGUUGUAUUGAUGGGGUGCUAGUGCACGUAUAUAUAAUACAAGGAAAGAUCUCUAUCUCAAUUAUACAAGACUAGAAGGUGGGCCACAACUCCAAUACAGGUGCAAUACAAAACACAUACUCAACAUCCUUCUCCCACGUCUUGCUGCUGCUUCUCUUCUCCGACCCCCUUUGUUGUUGCUCUUCUUCUUUUGCGCCCCUGCUGCUCCUAACUUGUUGCUCGCUGCUGCUUCUCUUCCAAUUCCCCAUUUGCUGUUGUUCUUCUUCUUCUCAAAAUCCUAAGUUGCUGCUCCUUCUCUGAACUAACUGCUGGCUGCUAUUACCUCUCCCCAAAACUGCCGUUGCUCCUCUUUCUUGCCGCACCUUCUCUCAAACGCCCCUGCUGCUCCUAGUCUGAACCAUAAACUGCUGCUAUCUCUCUUUUUUCCUCUCUAUCUUCUCUGAAUUUCUGUAAUAGGAGAUGUAUAAUGCCUUGUAAUGUUCAGAUUCUAUGAAUGCUUGCAAUCCGUGAAUGGUUCAGUUUCGUACUUAUAAAUAUUGUAUCACAUAUUAUGUGUUCUCAUUAGUUGAAUUGUUCUUGCUGUGUA